GACGAACGCUGGCGGCGUGCUUAACACAUGCAAGUCGAACGGAAAGGCCCUUCGGGGUACUCGAGUGGCGAACGGGUGAGUAACACGUGGGUGAUCUGCCCUGCACUUUGGGAUAAGCCUGGGAAACUGGGUCUAAUACCGAAUAGGACCACGCGCUUCAUGGUGUGUGGUGGAAAGCUUUUGCGGUGUGGGAUGGGCCCGCGGCCUAUCAGCUUGUUGGUGGGGUAAUGGCCUACCAAGGCGACGACGGGUAGCCGGCCUGAGAGGGGGACCGGCCACACUGGGACUGAGAUAAGGCCCAGGCGCCUACGGGAGGCAGCAGUGGGGAAUAUUGCACAAUGGGCGCAAGCCUGAUGCAGCGACGCCGCGUGCGGGAAGACGGGCUUCGGGUUGUAAACCUCUUUCACCAGGGACGAAGCGUAAGUGACGGUACCUGGAGAAGAAGCACCGGUCAACUACGUG
rnacentral:rRNA from 1 species